GAAGCGUAUCCUGGCCAGAACUGGGUGAAAGGCGCAGAGAAGAGGGACGCCAGAGCUCAGCCGCAGGGGACGGAAAAUCGUGGCCUGCCCCCUGCUGGCCGAAACGGCAGAGCCUUCUUGCAUCCAUGAGAUUACUACAAAGCCUAACACCACCUGUUUAAUAUUUUGAAAUUUAAAAGUGAAAACAAAAAAUAAAUAAAAGGCAAUUUCAGAUGAGAACAUAGUCGGUCUUUAGCUAUCCUCACCAAUCAGCCCAUUUCAAACACCAACAGGCAAAAGCCAAGGCAUCCCAGUUGUCACACCUCAGUCAGAACUGAAACCAGAUUAUGCAUAUAACACACUUAGCACAAUGCUUGGCCCCUAAUGAGCCCUCACUGGUAACCACAGUACUAUGUGAUUAAGAGGAAAAUAUGACUGCAUGAUUUCAAGUCAAACAAAUCAAGAUUUAGUUGAAGUUUUCCUGGAAAAAUCAAAGAUGAUAUCCAACAAAAGCACAGAUUCCUUUACAUAGCAAUUACCAUAUCAUAGUUUAUGGACGACACACUUUUUUGCUUCCAGGACUUCGUUUUGGUGAAGCAUUGGAGAGUCAAAUGCUCCUUGCAACCAGAGUCUCCUUUUAACCGAGAGAAUCCAGGAAAAGCGACAUUGGGACUCCCAGGGCUAGAUCAGAAGAAACCAUCAACUCCUGCCUUGCCUCUUAGAACCCGUGAUGCCUGAAUGCUUCCCAUGGGGACACCCCUCUCAAGACUCAGCAAUUAUGCAGUGAAAAUCCCAGGGCUUCUAGAGAGGCAAUGUACACUUUCUCUGGUUGACAGGCCCAGCAGAAUGAGCCAUUUUGGAAGUCCAAUCUUCAAAUGACUGGGGCUCUCGCCAAUAUCUGACCAAAACGAUUUGAGAGACCACAAGUAAAACCCUUAGCUGAGAUUAUCCUGCAUUACCAACCACAAAAUCAUAAGCAAAAUAAAAUGUUUUAAGUUGCUAAA